GAGAGAGGGGGCGGCUAGGGAAACUAGAGACAGGUGCUGCAUGGCCGUCGUAAAAAAAAAAGUCGUGAGAUGUUGGUUUAAGUUACGCUACGAGCGCAACCCCUUCCUUUAGUUGUCAUUAUUCAGUUGGGCAAUCAUACGGGACUUGCGGCGUCAAGCCGGAGGAAAGUGGGGAUGACGUCAAGUCCUCAUGGCCUUUAUGACCAGGGCUACACACGUGCUACAAUGGCCGAUACAAAGGGUCGCCAAGUCGCGAGACGGAGCUAAUCCCAAAAAACCGGUCUCGAGUCGGAUUGGAGUCUGCAACUCGACUCCAUGAAGUCGGAAUCGCUAGUAAUCGCGGAUCAGCACGCCUUCUUUAAAAAUUCCGGCCUUUCACACC
rnacentral:rRNA from 1 species